GAUAAGUGACUAAUGGGGGAGAAAAGAAAUGAGGGGAAGGGAGAGAGACGAGGGGAAAGGAAUCACCCCAACCUGUGAUAAUCGUCGACCCGACCCGACGGUGGCAUGCAAAUUCGACACCUUUCACGGAAAAUUGAGGCAAAUCGCCACCUGAAAACCACUCCUUAGCCUUCCCUCUUCCAUUUCCACAAAAAAUUAGAAGGAAUUUGGUGGUGGUUUUGGGGAAGAACACCCCGACGGGAACCAUGGGUGCACGGCAAAAUUUCGAUGUUUCUGCAGGUAUCGCCGACAACCACCACCCUUGUCUAACUCCCCUUGAGGCCUGGAUUGAAGCCAAACAAGUUUGGGGGCAGCGGAGCUGUGAAAUGGACGAAUCGAAGGACCCCAAAUUCUAGGGUUUCGGCGGGUUCGAGGCAAUUCUGAGCACUUCCUGACCGAAUUGGACUUUGGCCCAGGUAUGAAAGUUGUUCCUCUGAUUGAACUCUACUUGCCUGUAAAAUUUGGUAAUUUUUAGAGUUCGUCGGAAAAUUAGGUUUCCAUUAGACGGAAACCGCCACCCACAGCGGCGCGUGGCCAGUGGACCGAAGCUGCCAUUUUGUGAAAAUUUUUAAUAUUCUAAAUAUGAAUUUGGUAUCAAAUUGAUAUGUUUCGAUUAUUAAACCCAAUGUUGGUUAUUUCAGUUACUUGAAUGUCUUUGGAAAUGAAUUUAAAAUGAAUUGUGAACUACGAAAGGUUUGAUCCCGUUCAAGGGUACGUAGGCAGUCUAACGGGAGUUAGAUGCAGUCUUAAAAAUAACUGAGAUUAAUCUUUUGUUGAAAGUUUUCUUAAGAAAAGGAAUUGGGUGACUAAUUUAAAAAUUAACCUUAUGUUUUUGGUAAAAAAAAUUGGGUUAUAGAUUUUGUAAAUAGCUAAGAAUUAAAUAAAAAAAUUGUGAUAAAUGGUAGAAAAUAAACAAGAGUUUCAUUUUUGCCUAUCACCGAAAUUAGUUUUCAAAACCAAAUUUUCAGGUCGAAGCGUUACACAUGGGUACAUUCUUCAAAAGACAAAAAAAGAAGAAGAUAUUAGGCUUAUUAACAUUAAUACAUUUCUUUGGUUAAACUUGACAUGGAUACAUUCUCAAAACAACAAAAAAGAAUGUACCCAUAUAAAUUUAAAAAUGGAUUAAAAAAAUUUGAAUGGAUUUUAUAUUAAAAAAUUGGGUACAUUUUAUGUCACAGCCCGUCUUGAAUUAUUACUAUCGACGAUGUAAAAUGAUGGUUUUAUCCUUGGACGUUGAAAUUGUAGUGUGUGUAAUGUGCUUUGGGACUUAGAUAUGUUUUCUUUGGUUGGUUGGUGACCCACGUGGAACACACACACACCCAAAACUCUCCCUCUCUCUCCCAUGCCUUCCCUCUCUUUCCUUCCUCUCGGAUUUUUGCAAAAAACCCGUACAAACGUACGGACAAACUCCAAGCUUCAAUUUCAAGCACGGAUCGACGUCAAGAAGGUAAGAUUCGAACUCCUUGCAAGUCCCUGAGUUCAUAUAUGUCAUUUUUAGGACUUGAAAACCUCAAAACCCCGAGAACUCUAACCUCCGAUUUGGUGCACUAUUCAUGCACACAUAAAUGGGAAGGUUUCAGGUGAUUUGAAGGUUGUAAGAAGCUUUAAAACAUCCCUAUGAAGCUCGAAGAAGAAAAACCAAGCGAUUUGGACGUCGGGAUCUUUAGUUUCAAGCUUGGCCGGUUUUUCUUGAAAUUCUUCGGCGAGAUCCCGUGAGAUUUAGGCCCUAAAACUGGUAUAGGUUUGUUCUACAUGUCCUAAGCUUCAUUUUGAUAUAUAAUUUGUGCAAUGUGGUUGGAAAACGAGUGAGAUAUCAAGGUUUAAAAAUUUUCCCAGUUUCCGGUGCCGGCGACGGUUGCUGGAGUCCUGAGGUUAGGGGUGACGGAAUAUUCUGUCAACUUUGACGGAAUAUUCCUAAUGGCGUUGGUUAGUUUUAACGGUUUUCGUUACUUUUAACGGAAUAUUCCUAACGGCGUCACUGUUACCGUCAGUGUGCCUGGCACGUGCCUGUGCGUGGGCGGCGCGUCUGGCCGGCGCAUGGCGGUACGUGGCGGCAUGUGGGUGGUCGGAAAAUUAUUCUAAAAAUAUGGGGAUGUUCGGGAGUUGUGUAGAUCACGUUGGUAUAUUCAAACACCCCAUUUGGUUAGGUGCUUUAAAUUAACGUUUAUUCAGUUAAUUUGCAUAUAGGUGAGACUUAUCCUGAGGACGAGCGCAAUCAAGGACGACUCGGGGGCUACGACCCUUCGACAUAUCAGUGAGUGGGUUUUUGUUUUUCAGUAUAUAUUUAUAUACUUGAUAUUUUCCCAGAAAAUGUGUUUAAAUGAAAGUAUGCCUUGAAUGCCAUGCAUCUAAAUUUAUAUUUCGUAUAUGAAUAUUAGUAUAUGAUGCUUAUGUAUAAUUGUGGUGAUGUAGACGCUCAGGUAAGUACCAGGUGAGUUAUGUUUUGUGAUGAGAAUUAAUGAUUAAUGGCAUGUGAUUGAAUAACGUUGAGCUCAUAAAACUGCAUCUAAGGUGAUUGUGAUUUAGCCAAAGAUAUGGCACAGGCCUGUUAUUACAAUGUCACUUCCCGCACCAUAUGCUCAUAUUGGAUCCAAUUUAGGUGCAUAGUCCUGUCGUACAAACCUUUGCUAUGGUUUCGACUCGUAGGUGACUAGCGAUUUAUCGCCCAACUAUUAUGAGCGAGUAGUAUUGAGCAUAAUUAUAUUACACCUAAUAUUGUCGUAUAGACUUUUUCAUUUGGUUUUGACUUGUGUGCAGUAGAAUGCCGUAUAAGUCAUUGUAGUGACUUCGGCUAGAUUUGACUAUUGAGUUAUGAAUUCAGCCGUAUAGACUUCCAUAGGGGUUCCAGUAGGGGUGGGUUCAAAAAACCGAAAACCGAAAAAAACCGAAAACCAAACCGAACCGAAACCGAAAAAACCGAACCGAACAAAAAAACCGAACCGAAUUGAAAAAACCGAACCGAACCGAAUUCUUUUGGUUCGGUUCGGUUUUAGUGAUCUAGAAACCGAACCGAACCGAAUUAAUUAAAUUAAUUUUUUUAUUUAAUUAUUUGUUUUGGAUAUUAUUUUCUAAACCCAAUUUGUAAGUUAAAAUGUGCUAAGUGUUGCCAAACUUUAAGCUCAAAAUAUUAAAAAAAAGUCCUAUAAAAACUUUAAACCCUAACCUAUUAUUUAUCCCCCAUAUAAGGUUCUGGAGUCAAAUCUCAUCCUGAAGUACCUACAUCCAUCUCCAUAGCACUGUCUACUUCUGUCUCAGCUUUCUUUUCCAAAUCUACUCUUAUAUAACAUGUAACAGAAUCCAUAAACAUUUAUUUCGGGUAGAUUACUUAGGGAAUUUGUGAUGGAAAAGAAUCCAGCACAUACUAAAUAAAUCCACCCAUGCAUUACUUUUACUAAUCAAGUUGUCAACAUGCAGUUACAAGCAAACAACACUGAUCUUUGAACAACAUCAUACAAUUUAACUUUUCUAAGUCAUUUGUACGAUUUUUGUGUUGUGAGGUUGUUAGUUUGGACUUUGGAAGACUUGAUUGAUGAUUUUAGUUCAACUUUAAAUGUUUAUUUUCAUUGUCUUUGAUUAUAGUUAUAAUGCUUAUGUUAUGAUUGUGUUGCAUAUGUUAAAAUUUAAAAUUUCAAUGUUUUUCAUUUUUUGAAAGAAAAAAAAACAAAAAACCGAAACCGAACCGAAAAAAACCGAACCGAAAAAAAACCGAACCGAAAAAAACCGAAAAAAAAAUGAACCGAACCGAAAUUUCGGUUUGGUUUCAGUUUUGGCAAAAAACCGAACCGAAUUAAACCGAACCCACCCCUAGGUUCCAGCUAAUAUGUUAUAUUUCCAUGAAUUUAUUCUCACCUGAAUUACUUACUCUGUUAUAUCUUGGCAUGACAUACUUAUGAUUAUGAAUAUGUGAAGCAUGAUUUGAAUUGAUAUAUUAACAUAUAUAUAUUUAUGCAUAUGUUUAUAUUCUAUUUCUAGGAAAAUUAUACAUGUUUUACGGCAAGGGGUUAGAACUUUGAGAACUAAAAUGGUUUUGUAAAACAUUUUUUUUUGCCCACUCACACUUUCUGUUUUGCACCCCUCCAGGUUUUAGGUAACUGCUAUUGGUGGCGUAAGAGGAUUCCGGCAGUUAUGACAUAUUAAAAUAAUUGUAGGACAUCUUAUGGUACUGUAUAAUUAGUACUUGUCCUAUUGGACUGCACCUAGACUUUCUAUGCUCUGAUUAGGACUAAUUACAUUUGUAUUUCACUCCUAGCACUUACUGUCUGUUAGUGCACUUUAGUAGCUUUCGGUUUUUAUUUAUUCGUAUAACUCUUAUCUUUAUCCCUUCCGCACUGUGCACAUGGCUACGUCAUUCUCAUGUGACGGCCAAGAUGUCUUGAUCUCGGUCGGUGUGUGUCAUUUUAUAUAAUAAAAAAAAUUGUACAUUUUAUAUUAAAAAAAUGGGACAUUUUACAUGUAACAAAUUGGUAUAUUUAAGAAUGGGUACAUUGAAGAUUAAAAAUUGAAAAUCCUUUUAUAAAAAACUUAUGGGUACAAACUUAUUCUAAUUUAAUUUUUUAUUUAUUUUGGAAAUGUUUGAGUUGAAAAUUAAUUAGGAGUUUAAUAGAGGUGUGAGUAUUAAAACCCUAAAUCAAUUACUAGUUUUUAUUUUAAAAAUUUAUGUAAUAAACAUGUAAAUUCACUAUUACAUUAAUGCUAGGGACUUCAAUCAAAAUUUGAAAACUAAUAAGGUCUCAGUCAAUUAACAUUAGUAACUAGGGACCGGAUACUAAUUUUUUCUUAAAAUAAACUGAGAUGUUGUCAUUUAGUACUACAAUUUAGUGAUAUUCUUUUUUACUUGUAAGUGAAAGGUCUUAUAUUCGAUGCGAGUUUGAAU
rnacentral:lncRNA from 1 species